rnacentral:lncRNA from 1 species
CUCUCUUCUGAAGAAAAUCUUGUGUUAAGUAUGCAUUUCUUGAAGCCACCCAUCCAACACAAGCACAACUUCUGUUGGUGCUUUAGUCUUCUAUCGUUGAAAUUUCCCAGUCGUUGAAAUUCCUGCUGAACUAUAGCUGCUACCCUGUUUCAUUGUAACAAUUAGCGACAAAGCAAUUCUUGUUCACUGUGGUGCAAUAAAGAACGGCGAAAUUAACUUUAAGUUUCUCUGAAUGCAGCCAAUUAUCAUCCCAGAAUUUGAUCUUAGCACCAUUCCCAACUUCCAGCUUGAUGUUCAACUGAUAUUCACCCAG